rnacentral:rRNA from 1 species
AUUGAACGCUGGCGGCAUGCCUUACACAUGCAAGUCGAACGGCAGCACGGGAGCAAUCCUGGUGGCGAGUGGCGAACGGGUGAGUAAUAUAUCGGAACGUGCCCAGUCGUGGGGGAUAACGUAGCGAUAGCUACGCUAAUACCGCAUACGAUCUACGGAUGAAAGCGGGGGAUCGCAAGACCUCGCGCGAUUGGAGCGGCCGAUAUCAGAUUAGCUAGUUGGUGAAGUAAAGGCCCACCAAAGCGACGAUCUGUAGCUGGUCUGAGAGGACGACCAGCCACACUGGAACUGAGACACGGUCCAGACUCCUACGGGAGGCAGCAGUGGGGAAUUUUGGACAAUGGGCGCAAGCCUGAUCCAGCAAUGCCGCGUGCAGGAUGAAGGCCUUCGGGUUGUAAACUGCUUUUGUACGGAACGAAACGGCUCUUUCUAAUAAAGAGGGCUAAUGACGGUACCGUAAGAAUAAGCACCGGCUAACUACGUGCCAGCAGCCGCCGUAACAC